GACAGAGGGUGCAAACGUUGUUCGGAAUUACUGGGCAUAAAGCGCACGUAGGUGGUCUGCUAAGUCAAGUGUGAAAUCCCCCGGCUCAACCGGGAAUUGCGCUCGAUACUGGCAGGCUCGAGGUUGGUAGGGUGAGCGGAACUCCAGGUGGAGCGGUGAAAUGCGUAGAUAUCUGGAGGAACACCGGUGCGAAGCGGCUCACUGGAGCGUACUGACGCUGAGGCGCGAAAGCGUGGGAGCAACAGG
rnacentral:rRNA from 1 species